CGCGUAGGCGGUUUUUUAAGUCAGAUGUGUAAUCCCCGAGCUUAACUUGGGAACUGCAUCUGAGACUGGAAGGCUAGAGUACUGGAGAGGGUGGUGGAAUUCCUCGUGUAGCGGUGAAAUGCGUAGAGAUGAGGAGGAACACCAGUGGCGAAGGCGGCCACCUGGACAGUAACUGACGCUGAGGCGCGAAAGUGUGGGUAGCAAACAGGAUUAGAUACCCUGGUAGUCCACGCUGUAAACGAUGAACACUUGGUGUGGAGGGAGUUGACCCCUUCCGUGCCGGAGCUAACGCGUUAAGUCGUUCCGCCGUGGGGAGUACGGUCGCAAGGCUGAA
rnacentral:rRNA from 1 species